GAUACGCGAGUUUUCCACAGCCCAAUCCCUCCGAGCCCCCUCCGAUACCCCCCUUUCCACGCGGUUUUCAGCCCUCGAGGGGGGACUCGAGGAUUCAGAGGAGUCGCCACCGCCGCCGCCCGACUCCUCCUCAAGACGCCGCCGCCCGCCGCCUUUACGCCGACGUAUCUCCUCCGGCAUACCCCUGGCUAUGGCAGAGAGCCGUGAGAUCUUUCUCAAUUCUGCCGCUGAAGAUGAAGAGAGUGCCGCCAUGUUUCUUCGGAGCGAAAUGGCAGAGUUGCCUUGAGGGACCUGACCUCGCGGAAGACGGA